UUAUCCAGCAAUGGAUGACUGAGUGGCGAACGGGUGAGUAACACGUGGGUGACCUACCUUCGAGUGGGGGAUAACGUCCCGAAAGGGACGCUAAUACCGCAUGACAUCCUGCCUUUGAACAGGCGGUGAUCAAAGCCGGGGACCGUAAGGCCCGGCGCUUGAUGAGGGGCUCGCGUCUGAUUAGCUAGUUGGUGAGGUAACGGCCCACCAAGGCGACGAUCAGUAUCCGGCCUGAGAGGGCGGACGGACACACUGGGACUGAGACACGGCCCAGACUCCUACGGGAGGCAGCAGUGGGGAAUUGUUCACAAUGGGCGCAAGCCUGAUGACGCAACGCCGCGUGGAGGAUGAAGGUCUUCGGAUUGUAAACUCCUGUUGCCCGGGACGAAAAGCUCUGACCUAACACGUCGGAGUCUGACGGUACCGGGUGAGGAAGCCCCGGCUAACUCUGUGCCAGCAGCCGCGGUAAUACAGAGGGGGCAAGCGUUGUUCGGAAUUACUGGGCGUAAAGGGCGCGUAGGCGGCCUUCUAAGUCGAACGUGAAAUCCCUGGGCUUAACCCAGGAACUGCGUCCGAUACUGGAAGGCUUGAAUCCGGGAGAGGGAUGCGGAAUUCCAGGUGUAGCGGUGAAAUGCGUAGAUAUCUGGAGGAACACCGGUGGCGAAGGCGGCAUCCUGGACCGGUAUUGACGCUGAGGCGCGAAAGCCAGGGGAGCAAACGGGAUUAGAUACCCCGGUAGUCCUGGCCCUAAACGAUGAAUGCUUGGUGUGGCGGGUAUCGAUCCCUGCCGUGCCGAAGCUAACGCAUUAAGCA
rnacentral:rRNA from 1 species